AUUAACCAUGCAAGUCGAGCGGAGAGAGGUAGCUUGCUACUGAUCUUAGCGGCGGACGGGUGAGUAAUGCUUAGGAAUCUGCCUAUUAGUGGGGGACAACAUUUCGAAAGGAAUGCUAAUACCGCAUACGUCCUACGGGAGAAAGCAGGGGAUCUUCGGACCUUGCGCUAAUAGAUGAGCCUAAGUCGGAUUAGCUAGUUGGUGGGGUAAAGGCCUACCAAGGCGACGAUCUGUAGCGGGUCUGAGAGGAUGAUCCGCCACACUGGGACUGAGACACGGCCCAGACUCCUACGGGAGGCAGCAGUGGGGAAUAUUGGACAAUGGGCGCAAGCCUGAUCCAGCCAUGCCGCGUGUGUGAAGAAGGCCUUAUGGUUGUAAAGCACUUUAAGCGAGGAGGAGGCUACUUUAGAUAAUACCUAGAGAUAGUGGACGUUACUCGCAGAAUAAGCACCGGCUAACUCUGUGCCAGCAGCCGCGGUAAUACAGAGGGUGCAAGCGUUAAUCGGAUUUACUGGGCGUAAAGCGCGCGUAGGCGGCUAAUUAAGUCAAAUGUGAAAUCCCCGAGCUUAACUUGGGAAUUGCAUUCGAUACUGGUUAGCUAGAGUGUGGGAGAGGAUGGUAGAAUUCCAGGUGUAGCGGUGAAAUGCGUAGAGAUCUGGAGGAAUACCGAUGGCGAAGGCAGCCAUCUGGCCUAACACUGACGCUGAGGUGCGAAAGCAUGGGGAGCAAACAGGAUUAGAUACCCUGGUAGUCCAUGCCGUAAACGAUGUCUACUAGCCGUUGGGGCCUUUGAGGCUUUAGUGGCGCAGCUAACGCGAUAAGUAGACCGCCUGGGGAGUACGGUCGCAAGACUAAAACUCAAAUGAAUUGACGGGGGCCCGCACAAGCGGUGGAGCAUGUGGUUUAAUUCGAUGCAACGCGAAGAACCUUACCUGGCCUUGACAUAGUAAGAACUUUCCAGAGAUGGAUUGGUGCCUUCGGGAACUUACAUACAGGUGCUGCAUGGCUGUCGUCAGCUCGUGUCGUGAGAUGUUGGGUUAAGUCCCGCAACGAGCGCAACCCUUUUCCUUAUUUGCCAGCGAGUAAUGUCGGGAACUUUAAGGAUACUGCCAGUGACAACUGGAGGAAGGCGGGGACAACGUCAGUCAUCAUGGCCCUUACGGCAGGGCUACCACGUGCUACAUGGUCGGUACAAGGUUGCUACUAGC
rnacentral:rRNA from 1 species